rnacentral:rRNA from 1 species
UACGUAGGGUGCGAGCGUUAAUCGGAAUUACUGGGCGUAAAGCGCACGUAGGCGGCUUUGUAAGUUAGAGGUGAAAGCCCGGGGCUCAACCCCGGAAUUGCCUUUAAGACUGCAUCGCUUGAAUCCAGGAGAGGUGAGUGGAAUUCCGAGUGUAGAGGUGAAAUUCGUAGAUAUUUCGGAAGAACACCAGUGGCGAAGGCGGCUCACUGGACUGGUAUUGACGCGUGA